rnacentral:rRNA from 1 species
UGAAGAGUUUGAUCAUGGCUCAGAUUGAACGCUGGCGGCAGGCUUAACACAUGCAAGUCGAGCGGAAACGAUGGGAGCUUGCUCCCAGGCGUCGAGCGGCGGACGGGUGAGUAACGCGUAGGAAUCUGCCCAGUAGAGGGGGAUAGCCCGGGGAAACCCGGAUUAAUACCGCAUACGCCCUACGGGGGAAAGGCCGGGAUCUUCGGACCGGUCACUAUUGGAGGAGCCUGCGUGAGAUUAGCUUGUUGGUGGGGUAAUGGCCUACCAAGGCGACGAUCUCUAGCUGGUCUGAGAGGAUGAUCAGCCACACCGGAACUGAGACACGGUCCGGACUCCUACGGGAGGCAGCAGUGGGGAAUAUUGCACAAUGGGCGCAAGCCUGAUGCAGCCAUGCCGCGUGAAUGAUGAAGGCCUUAGGGUUGUAAAAUUCUUUCGCCAAGGAUGAUAAUGACAGUACUUGGUAAAGAAGCCCCGGCUAACUUCGUGCCAGCAGCCGCGGUAAUACGAAGGGGGCUAGCGUUGUUCGGAAUUACUGGGCGUAAAGCGCACGUAGGCGGAUUUUUAAGUCAGAUGUGAAAUCCCAAGGCUCAACCUUGGAACUGCAUUUGAAACUGGGAAUCUAGAGAUCAGGAGAGGUUAGUGGAAUACCGAGUGUAGAGGUGAAAUUCGUAGAUAUUCGGUGGAACACCAGUGGCGAAGGCGACUAACUGGACUGAUACUGACGCUGAGGUGCGAAAGUGUGGGGAGCAA